UACGUAGGGUGCAAGCGUUGUCCGGAAUUAUUGGGCGUAAAGAGCUCGUAGGCGGUCUGUCACGUCGGCUGUGAAAACUCGGGGCUCAACCCCGAGCCUGCAGUCGAUACGGGCAGACUAGAGUGCUGUAGGGGAGACUGGAAUUCCUGGUGUAGCGGUGAAAUGCGCAGAUAUCAGGAGGAACACCGGUGGCGAAGGCGGCAUCCUGGACCAACACUGACGCUGAGUGAGCGAAAGCCAGGGGAGCAAACGGG
rnacentral:rRNA from 1 species